rnacentral:rRNA from 1 species
UACGUAGGGGGCUAGCGUUGUCCGGAAUCAUUGGGCGUAAAGAGCGCGUAGGCGGCUAGAUAAGUCCGGUGUGAAAGCCCCGGGCUCAACCUGGGAAUUGCAUUCGAGACUGAAUAGCUAGGGUACGGUAGAGGGAAGUGGAAUUUCCGGUGUAGCGGUGAAAUGCGUAGAUAUCGGAAGGAACAUCAGUGGCGAAAGCGACUUCCUGGACCAGUACCGACGUUCAGGCACGAAAGCGUGGGGAGCAAACAGG